rnacentral:rRNA from 1 species
CCGGUAAACGGCGGCCGUAACUAUAACGGUCCUAAGGUAGCGAAAUUCCUUGUCGGGUAAGUUCCGACCUGCACGAAUGGCGUAAUGAUGGCCAGGCUGUCUCCACCCGAGACUCAGUGAAAUUGAACUCGCUGUGAAGAUGCAGUGUACCCGCGGCAAGACGGAAAGACCCCGUGAACCUUUACUAUAGCUUGACACUGAACAUUGAGCCUUGAUGUGUAGGAUAGGUGGGAGGCUUGGAAGUGUGGACGCCAGUCUGCAUGGAGCCGACCUUGAAAUACCACCCUUUAAUGUUUGAUGUUCUAACGUUGACCCGUAAUCCGGGUUGCGGACAGUGUCUGGUGGGUAGUUUGACUGGGGCGGUCUCCUCCUAAAGAGUAACGGAGGAGCACGAAGGUUGGCUAAUCCUGGUCGGACAUCAGGAGGUUAGUGCAAUGGCAUAAGCCAGCUUGACUGCGAGCGUGACGGCGCGAGCAGGUGCGAAAGCAGGUCAUAGUGAUCCGGUGGUUCUGAAUGGAAGGGCCAUCGCUCAACGGAUAAAAGGUACUCCGGGGAUAACAGGCUGAUACCGCCCAAGAGUUCAUAUCGACGGCGGUGUUUGGCACCUCGAUGUCGGCUCAUCACAUCCUGGGGCUGAAGUAGGUCCCAAGGGUAUGGCUGUUCGCCAUUUAAAGUGGUACGCGAGCUGGGUUUAGAACGUCGUGAGACAGUUCGGUCCCUAUCUGCCGUGGGCGCUGGAGAACUGAGGGGGGCUGCUCCUAGUACGAGAGGACCGGAGUGGACGCAUCACUGGUGUUCGGGUUGUCAUGCCAAUGGC